AAAAUACUUUGAUUUCUCUCUUUUUUCUCUGAAAGGGGUCUAGGUUCGGCCAUUGGAGCCGUCGCCGCUCCGCCGUGGCCGUUGGUUGCCGACGAUGGUGACCACCGUCUCUAGUGGCCGAAAAUUGCCCAAAAAAACCAUUUUAAACCCUUUUCGGCGUAGAACUCUAAUUCGAAGUCAAAAACACUAGACUAAAGCCGAAAUCCCCUAAAAAAGAGGAAAGCCUUUUGGUUCCCAACGCCCUCCGUCGUGGCCUUGGCUGAAUCCCCAAGGAUUCGACGGCCUUCUAGGCCAGAGAGGACCACCGACUAUGGCGGCUCAGGUAAAAACGAUUCCUGUCUUUUUAUUUAUUAUUUUUUCGGAAAUAAAAAAACCCAAAAAAAUCACCUUUAAAUUUUUCUUUAUACUCUGCUUUUUUGAUUGCCUUUUUGUUUGUAUUUUUUUUCUUUAAAAAAAAGUCCCCCCAUACAACCUGUUCUAUGACUUCUAUAGCCAUUUCAUACAUUUUUUUCUAUUUUUUUCUACUGUUCUUGCACAUUGUUCUUGUUCUUUUUGCAGGUGUCCCUGGAGUCAAUCGAUGAAACAAAGGCAGUUGACGGUUGCAGACCUCGGGGCGUGAGCAUGCUGACGUGACAAGGAGUGGCAUGAGAGAGGGAUUAGGGUUUCUUAGUUUUUUGAAAAAAAAAUUAGGUCGUGGGCCUUAGGGUUUUUGUAUUUGAGCUAUUUGGGCUUGUAAAUUCAGGCUUAAUAUUUGUUGUAUCUGGACUGCCUUUAAUUUGGACUUUAUUAUUUUUGGUUGAAAUUUUUUUGUUUUAUUUGUUUGUAAUCUGGGUCCGGGCUAAAUUGAGCCUCUAUAGAAUUUCUUAGUCUUUCUUGUCAACUCUCUUGAACUCUAUAGCCUAUGAAAUAACAUUUGAGGGAUGUGUUACAAAUAGGUACUUGCAC
rnacentral:lncRNA from 1 species